ACGACUCUCGGCAACGGAUAUCUCGGCUCUCGCAUCGAUGAAGAACGUAGCGAAAUGUGAUACCUGGUGUGAAUUGCAGAAUCCCGCGAACCAUCGAGUCUUUGAACGCAAGUUGCGCCCGAGGCCACUCGGCCGAGGGCACGCCUGCCUGGGCGUCAUGC
rnacentral:rRNA from 1 species